CUAAAUUUUAUUAAAUUUCUAAAAUAAAUUAUCUGAGUUUACAAGUCUACCCCUAAAUACGAUGGUUCCUAACUAAACCAUUAAAUCAAAUGGUUCCCAAUAAAUCCCCUAAAUCUACAGUUCUACACACUAAUUCUGUUUUCUCUGCCUUAUCAAAUUUUUUUGCUUCAUCUUGUUGCAACGUCAUAUUUUGCUUUAGUAAACUGAUAUUGAAAAAAUGAGGAAGAACAAAAUUCUAGUGAUGGGUUUUAUGCAAAAGAUGAAUUUCAGAAGCCGAAGAACGAAGCUGAAAUCCAUUGUUAAAACCGCUACUAUUGAUCGAUUUGAUUGAAUUAGGAAGGAGAUAAACAAGGGUUAGAAGUACACAAAAAAUUCAUUUCUGCCAUAACAAUUCAUACCCUGUGGCUGUUUGAAGAAAGUUUCCAAAGGAGUCUCUGCAUUGCAGUACUAUAUGUCACAUUAAACAGGGUUUUCUCUGAAUUCUGCGGUGUUCUCGGCAGGGUUUGACAAGAUUUUGGAGGCCAAUAUUGGUAAUAAAGGCUCAACUGUGUUCGUGAAUGAAAAAAAAUGAAGAAUUGGAUUUUGUUGCUACAGGGAAAAUAGCCUUGAGUGGCUGCAUUUGUCGUUGAUUUCAUUGAUGGUUGGUUGAGAUAUGUAGUGUCUUUCAGCUUGACUGUAACGAGCAUAUGUUGCAUGUUGUGAAACACAGAUUUGCAGGUGAAGAAGAAUAUAGAAGGAAGAUCGAAAUCAUCCACAAAUUGGCCCUCUCACCCACAGAAACUGCAUGCUAAGUGUUUGAUUUUUUUCUUCAAAGAAGAUUAAAAUGAGUGUUCUUAGUGGUGUCUACAAAUUUAAUGGGUAUAAUGAUAAACUUGUUUAUUAA